GACAGAGGAUGCAAGCGUUAUCCGGAAUGAUUGGGCGUAAAGGGUCCUGAGGUGGCUAGCCAAGUCUAUUGUGAAAUAUCAGGGCUUAACCCUGAACAUGCGGUGGAAACUACCAAGCUGGAGUACGGUAGGGGCAGAGGGAAUUUCCGGUGGAGCGGUGAAAUGGCGUAGAGAUCGGAAAGAACACCAACGGCGAAAGCAACUCUGCUGGGCCGACACUGACACUGAGAGACGAAAGCUAGGGGAGCGAAUGGG
rnacentral:rRNA from 1 species